rnacentral:rRNA from 1 species
UCAAGAAACUUCCACAAUGGGCGAAAGCCUGAUGGAGCGACGUCGCGUGAUGGACGAAGUGCUUCGGCACGUAAACAUCUUUUAUGUGGGAUGAAAUUAUUGACAGUACCACAUGAAUAAGGGGCUCCUAACUCUGUGCCAACAGGAGCGGUAAUACAGAGGCCCCAAGCGUUAUCCGGAAUCACUGGGCGUAAAGGGUGUCGAGGCGGUUGUAUUAGUCGUUCGUAAAAUCUACGAGCUUAACUUGUAGGCGGCGAACGAAACGGUACGACUUGAGGUUUGGAGAGGUGCGUGGAACUCACGGUGUAGGGGUGAAAUCCGUUGAUAUCGUGGGGAACACCAAAGGCGAAGGCAGCGCACUGGCCAAAAUCUGACGCUCACACACGAAAGCUAGGGUAGCGAAGAGGAUUAGAUACCCCUGUAGUCCCUGAGCGGGCUGGCAAGGCGCAU